AUUGAACGCUGGCGGUAGGCCUAACACAUGCAAGUCGAGCGGUAGCACAGGAGAGCUUGCUCUCCGGGUGACGAGCGGCGGACGGGUGAGUAAUGUCUGGGAAACUGCCUGAUGGAGGGGGAUAACUACUGGAAACGGUAGCUAAUACCGCAUAACGUCGCAAGACCAAAGAGGGGGACCUUCGGGCCUCUUGCCAUCAGAUGUGCCCAGAUGGGAUUAGCUAGUAGGUGGGGUAACGGCUCACCUAGGCGACGAUCCCUAGCUGGUCUGAGAGGAUGACCAGCCACACUGGAACUGAGACACGGUCCAGACUCCUACGGGAGGCAGCAGUGGGGAAUAUUGCACAAUGGGCGCAAGCCUGAUGCAGCCAUGCCGCGUGUAUGAAGAAGGCCUUCGGGUUGUAAAGUACUUUCAGCGGGGAGGAAGGUGUUGUGGUUAAUAACCACAGCAAUUGACGUUACCCGCAGAAGAAGCACCGGCUAACUCCGUGCCAGCCGCCGCAGUAA
rnacentral:rRNA from 1 species